GCACUAUGAGAGAGAGAGAGGGGACUAUAGGAAAGAGAGAGCACUAUAGGAGAGAGAGGAUGGUAUAUCGCGCACUGCUAGCACGGCACUAUCCCGCAAAGAGAGCUACAAGGCGCAGCGGCAGCACUAUAGGAGAGAGAAGAAGCGAGCCGCGUCGGCACUACUACAUUCGAUAGAGGACCCGUCGGUCGUCGUGCUCGCUGACUGGCUCAAGGUCCGAGGCUCGCUCAAGUCGUGGACGAAGCUAUGGUGCGUCCUCAAACCCGGUCUGCUGCUGCUUUACAAGAGCCCUAAAGCAAAGAGCAGUCACUGGGUGGGCACAGUUCUGCUGACGUCGUGCCAGGUGAUAGAGCGUCCCAGCAAGAAGGACGGCUUCUGCUUCAAGCUCUACCACCCUCUGGAGCAGAGCAUCUGGGCGCCAAGGGGGCCCCAUAACGAGAC